rnacentral:rRNA from 1 species
CAGUAGCCGCGGUAAUACGAAGGGUGCAAGCGUUAAUCGGAAUUACUGGGCGUAAAGCGUGCGUAGGCGGUGAGUUAAGCCUGCUGUGAAAUCCCCGGGCUCAACCUGGGAAUGGCAAUGGAUACUGGCAAGCUAGAGUGUGUCAGAGAGGGGUAGAAUUCCACGUGUAGCAGUGAAAUGCGUAGAGAUGUGGAGGAAUACCGAUGGCGAAGGCAGCCCCCUGGGCCAAUACUGACGCUCAUGCACGAAAGCGUGGGGAGCAAACAGGAUUAGAUACCCGUGUAGUCCCUGUCUCUUAUAC